rnacentral:rRNA from 1 species
ACCGAGUUUACAACUCCCAAACCCCUGUGAACAUACCACUUGUUGCCUCGGCGGAUCAGCCCGCUCCCGGUAAAACGGGACGGCCCGCCAGAGGACCCCUAAACUCUGUUUCUAUAUGUAACUUCUGAGUAAAACCAUAAAUAAAUCAAAACUUUCAACAACGGAUCUCUUGGUUCUGGCAUCGAUGAAGAACGCAGCAAAAUGCGAUAAGUAAUGUGAAUUGCAGAAUUCAGUGAAUCAUCGAAUCUUUGAACGCACAUUGCGCCCGCCAGUAUUCUGGCGGGCAUGCCUGUUCGAGCGUCAUUUCAACCCUCAAGCACAGCUUGGUGUUGGGACUCGCGUUAAUUCGCGUUCCUCAAAUUGAUUGGCGGUCACGUCGAGCUUCCAUAGCGUAGUAGUAAAACCCUCGUUACUGGUAAUCGUCGCGGCCACGCCGUUAAACCCCAACUUCUGAAUGUUGACCUCGGAUCAGGUAGGAAUACCCGCUGAACUUAAGCAUAUCAAAAGCGGAGGAA